rnacentral:lncRNA from 1 species
UGACUGAAUUAAAAGAACAAUAAAAUAAAUAGAACAAGAGAUUAGAACCUUGAAAAACAGGAAAGUAAAAUAUUUUCUAUCUGCUCUUAAAUUCUAAUAAUGAAGCGUUCCAAAUAAACUAACUAAAGCCAUCUAUUUAUAGGCUGAGAAAAUAUUUUUCUGUUAAUCCCUUGAUGUGUUUGCGUGCUAUUCUGAAGGAGGAGAUAAGCUUUGAUCGUGCCGCCCGUUACGAUAGGAGUGCGAUCUCCACAUGUUAAUCAUUUGCUAAUAAAUAGCACUUGGCGGCCAACAUGAUCUUUAUGGUACACGUCAUAUAUUGUUUGAUAAGUGCCUAAUCUAAUAAAACACGUGUGGUCACCAUGAUCUUUAUCCAUGCCAUAUAUUGGUGAAUUGGGCUGCUACAUUGUGACUUUUGUGGCCCAAUUGGGACUUGUUUGUUUUGGCCUUCACCUCNNNNNNNNNNNNNNNNNNCGAUCUAAUUCUUUAUUAGCAUUUAUUUUGCAACUUAUAAAUUAUUUGGUAGCUUCCGGACAUUCCUGAAAUACAUAAAAAUAAUAGUAAUAAUACUACGAAAAAUGCAGAGAAAUAGUAAAUUACUAAGCUAAUUUUAUUAAAUAAAUAGUGCAUUUUUCGGUGUUAUCAA